rnacentral:rRNA from 1 species
GACAGGGGUCUCGAGCGUUAAUCGGAAUCACUGGGCUUAAAGGGUGCGUAGGCGGCCGAGCGCGUGUCCCGUGAAAUCCCCCGGCUUAACCGGGGAACUGCGGGGCAAACGGCGCGGCUCGAGGAAGGUAGAGGCCGGUGGAACGAUAGGUGGAGCGGUGGAAUGCGUAGAGAUCUAUCGGAACGCCAAAGGUGAAGACAGCCGGCUGGGCCUUUCCUGACGCUGAGGCACGAAAGCGUGGGGAGCAAACCGG